rnacentral:rRNA from 1 species
UGAUCCUGGCUCAGGACGAACGCUGGCGGCGCGCCUAACACAUGUAAGUCGAACGGAGUUGUGUUGAAAGCUUGCUGGAUAUACAACUUAGUGGCGGACGGGUGAGUAACACGUGAGUAACCUGCCUCUCAGAGUGGAAUAACGUUUGGAACGAACGCUAAUACCGCAUAAUGUGAGAAGAGGGCAUCCUCUUUUUACCAAAGAUUUAUCGCUGAGAGAUGGGCUCGCGGCCGAUUAGGUAGUUGGUG